AGAGCUGGUCUUUCCAGAUAAAUGUGACGCAGUUGGGACAGGGAGCAGGUCGCUGUUGGAAGAUGGCCCUAAUGUGAAGCUCUCCACAAGUCCUGUGGAAGGCAGUGAGAUAGCAAGAGCAUGAGAUUCUUCUGGGUGUUUAUGCAGAAAACAUCUUGUCUGAGGAAAAAGGAAUCCAACAAAACAUGCGCAUGAGCUUGGGAACUAUUGUUUGUAAACUAUGUAUUUUUCUGCCCUAA